CGGACCGGCGCACGGGUGGGUAACACGUAUCCAACCUGCCGUCUACUCUUGGACAGCCUUCUGAAAGGAAGAUUAAUACAAGAUGGCAUCAUGAGUCCGUAUGUUCACAUGAUUAAAGGUAUUCCGGUAGACGAUGGGGAUGCGUUCCAUUAGAUAGUAGGCGGGGUAACGGCCCACCUAGUCUUCGAUGGAUAGGGGUUCUGAGAGGAAGGUCCCCCACAUUGGAACUGAGACACGGUCCAA
rnacentral:rRNA from 1 species